rnacentral:rRNA from 1 species
CCUACGGGGGGCAGCAGUGAGGAAUAUUGGUCAAUGGGCGGAAGCCUGAACCAGCCAAGUCGCGUGAGGGAAUAAGGCCCUACGGGUCGUAAACCUCUUUUGCCGGGGAGCAAGGGCGGGGACGUGUCCCGGCCCGGAGAGUACCCGGAGAAAAAGCAUCGGCUAACUCCGUGCCAGCAGCCGCGGUAAUACGGAGGAUGCGAGCGUUAUCCGGAUUUAUUGGGUUUAAAGGGUGCGUAGGCGGAACAUUAAGUCAGCGGUAAAAUCGAGGGGCUCAACCCCUUUAAGCCGUUGAAACUGGUGAUCUUGAGUGGGCGAGAAGUAUGCGGAAUGCGUGGUGUAGCGGUGAAAUGCAUAGAUAUCACGCAGAACUCCGAUUGCGAAGGCAGCAUACCGGCGCCCGACUGACGCUGAGGCACGAAAGCGUGGGGAUCGAACAGGAUUAGAUACCCUAGUAGUC